GCACCAGUGGUGUAGUGGUAUCAUGCAAGAUUCCCAUUCUUGCGACCCAGGUUCGAUUCCUGGCUGGUGCA